CUAUGGCUUGUUUUUAAGUUUUUUCUUACUGUUUUCACUUCUCAGAAGAGCUGGGAAAUGGUUACAGCCUGGGGGUGAUGAUGGCAAAACUCACUAAAUAAUUUCUGAGUACUGUGGGAGAUACAUCCUCCCAUCAUAACAUUUUUAUGGCAAGUUUAAUGUUCAGCUCAUCUGGAAUAAGCUGUGAGAGCCACACUACAGGAAGCUGUCAGAGUUACUGACGAUUUUUUAUUCUCUUUGGAGAAGACGAAAACACAGGCUUCUGUCCUCUGUGGAUUCUGUGAUUUGUGAAGCACUGAAAGAGAUCGGAUUUCUGCAGAAAAGGAAUAUCCAAUGGGAAAGAAGUUAAAAUUUUGAAAUACUUCAGUGAUGUGAUCAGUGGACAGUAGUGGGAA
rnacentral:lncRNA from 1 species